GGCGAUUAGCGGUGGGAGUUCGGCCUGCACGCAAUAUCUGGAUGGAGAAUUCGGUGUGAUUAAUCUGGCGCUAAGUAGCAGCCUCCGGGGUCCGCGGGGCUCUGGCAUGUUUGGAAUGGGAAAAGAGCUCUGGAGCGCAGCGAUUCUUCGGGGGGCUCUUUGGGGGUCUGCCAGGGCGGCAGCUGUGCCCGGGGCAGGCUGCAGGCCCCGGCUGGCCCCCGGCCGUGCAGAUCACCCCGCGUUUGUGGCCCUCGGCAGACUGCCAGCCGUUGAAAGUGUGCUCCGUCCAGAAUUUCAGCCCGCGCCUUUCUUUGCUCUUAGCCUCCUCUGUUGUCAGAGCCUCGGGUUCAAGUUGGGGCUUCACCGCCCUUAACGCCACCUUUCUGGGCCUCGGUUUCUUUAGCCGAAAAGUGGGACAUGUGACUUCUGUCCCGCCCUCUUAGGAAAGAAUGACUAUUAUUCCCAACUUAUGGAGCAGGAAACUGAGGCUGUGAGCAUGUGCACAGCAGGGCGGGGCCCCGUACUGGUAUGCAGAUGUUGGGGAUUAUUAUUAAUAAUUCUACUAAUAACCUGAUUUCAGGAGCCACCAGUUCCUUCAGUUUUGUCUCUGUGUUUGGAGCUUCUCAGUAUGUUGGGGGGAGGCGGUGGCGGGGAGAGAGUAUUUAUCUUACAGACCUGCAUCUAUAGCCCCAUCUGUAGAAUGGGUAUAAAAAUACCUCCCCUUGGAGUUUGCACUGUGGCACAGCAGGUUAAGGAUCCAGUGUUGUUUCUGUGGCAGCAGGGGUUCAAUUCUCGCCCAGGAACCUCUAUAUGCCAUGAAUGUGGUGAUUUAAAAACAAACCAUCAGACAAACUGCCCUGAAGUAGACUUCUGUUUUAGGAUUGUUCUGGGGCCAUCCACAAGCUAACUCAGGGUACUGAUUGGAGGUAUGACGAAGCUGCUGGCGGUGAUGUGGGUCUGAGGGGAUGUCUGCCCGGCCCUGCUUCCUGUCCCUUGACCCCCGUUGUGAGGCCUCAUCAGGUGGAAGCACACCGAAUGCCAGGGCUGGAAGGGCGCUUCUUACUCUUGUUUCUCAGUGUCUUCACUUUAAGGAAGAGGAAAUUGGAGGAUCAGAGAUGGCACAAGGCCUGCCCGAGGCUGUACUGCAGUGGCAGCUUCGAAGGGUGAUCGUAGUCCUUGGAACCCGCCAGGCCUGGGUUGACUUUGGGAAGGGCUUCCUUUUUCUGAGUCUCUUUCCUCCUCUGGGGAGUGGGGCAGUCACACCCACCAGCCUUUGAGGCUAGAACAGUACAGUGGGCCUGGAGCAGAGCAGGUGCUCUGCUGGGAGCGGGAGAAGGUCUGGGUCUUCCGGGAGCCAGCGAGGCUAUCUGACGGGGUGCCAGUGCAUGUGACUGGCCUGCCCUCUCCCUGCCCAGGGAGCUGGACUUGUCGGAAGCUCUUGCGGCAGCAGAGCUCAAUGGUCGCACUUUCCGCUCGAUGGCUUCAGGCCCUGUGGACUAUUUCCAGAUCUGAUGUCUGACCUCCAUGCACCUCACCAUUCUACCCAGAAAUGGAUACUGGAUCUUCCCUCCCCCUCUCCGAAGCAGGCGACAUAAUGGCCUUUGAAAGGGGGUUGGUUUGUGGUUUUCCCAGGACUAGAGUGGUCUGUGGUCUCGAGCAGCUGAAUUUGAGACCAAGCUUUUCACAUUUUUUACUGAGCUCUAAACUGGCUGGGCACAGCAUAAGGCGGCAGGGGUCACAGAGAGCCGGGCAGGGCUCCGGGAGGUUGGCUCUGCGUGCACCGCUGACUCCCGAGUGCCUGGAACCGUAGGAGUGCAAGUCAGCGUUGCUUGAAUGAAUGCUUGUGUGCUUGACUGGGUGGAUGGAGGCACACAUGCAUAGGGGAAUGGAUGCGUGCUAUGAUGAGAAGGAGUAAGGUGUAUUGUGGUGUAGAUAGCCUGGAGCUGAAUCCUGGCUCUUUUUAUUAGGGGUGUGACUUUCGGCAACUCAUUUGAGUUUCCAGGGCCUCAGUUUGCUCAUCUGUAAAAUGCGGGUAAUGGUAAUCCCUCACCAGGAGCAGAAACGAAUCUGACUAGCAUCCAUGAGGACGCAGGUUUGAUCCCUGGCCUCGCUCACUGGGUUAAGAAUCCUGUGUUGCUGUGAGCUGUGGUGUAGGUCACAGACGUGGCUCAAAUCCCGUGUUUGCUGUGGCUGCGGCUGUGGCCAGCAGCUGUAGCUCUGAUUCGACCCCUAGCCUGAGAACCUCCAUAUGCCAUGUGUGCAGCCCUAAAAAGACAAAAGCUAAAAAACUUGUCAUUGUCAUUAAAAGUAUUAAAAGUAUUCUGACUUAGGGCUUACAAGACGAGGUAAAGCCAUAGCUCUGCCACUGUCCUACCACGCGACCUUGGUUAAGUCCCUUCCUCUCUCUGGGCCUCAGUUUCCCCAUCUAUAGAAUGACUGGGCCAGAUGAUUCGAACAUCCCACCUAGCUCAGUUGUCCUGGUCUGUGGGCCUUUAUUCAGGGCACCGUGCUCAGCACAGAGGCUUGGUGCUCAUGGAGCCCUCUAGCUCAGUCACCAUGCUACCAAAAACUCAUGUUCCCAAACAGAGGUGACAGCGUCUCCCUCACCCAAGUGCGCUGCUGAGUUUCUGCUUUGAAGUGUGCCUUGCCUUUGGGGCGUUGGGUGCCCCAACUCUUUUGUCAGUGCAUUUGCUCCCACCCCCUUCCCCUGAACCUUCCUGACCCAGCUCACACACCUCCUCCUCCAGGAAGCCUUUAAGGCUGCCUCCCCCAAGCCUUCGAAGCCUCUUUUCUGCAUCUGGGGCUCCUGACUUAUGAUCCUACGUUGCCCCCGUCGAGAUGUUU
ensembl:lncRNA